rnacentral:rRNA from 1 species
GACGAACGCUGGCGGCGUGCUUAACACAUGCAAGUCGAACGGAAAGGCCCUGCUUUUGUGGGGUGCUCGAGUGGCGAACGGGUGAGUAACACGUGAGUAACCUGCCCUUGACUUUGGGAUAACUUCAGGAAACUGGGGCUAAUACCGGAUAGGAGCUCCUGCUGCAUGGUGGGGGUUUGAAAGUUUCGGCGGUUGGGGAUGGACUCGCGGCUUAUCAGCUUGUUGGUGGGGUAGUGGCUUACCAAGGCUUUGACGGGUAGCCGGCCUGAGAGGGUGACCGGCCACAUUGGGAAUGAGAUACGGCCCAGACUCCUACGGGAGGCAGCAGUGGGGAAUAUUGCACAAUGGGCGGAAGACUGAUGCAGCAACGCCGCGUGAGGGAUGACGGCCUUCGGGUUGUAAACCGAUUUCGCCUGUGACGAAGCGUGAGUGAAGGUAAUGGGUAAAGAAGCACCGGAUAACUACGUG